AUGAACGCUAGCGGCAGGCUUAACACAUGCAAGUCGAGGGGCAGCAUAAUGGUAGUAAUACUAUUGAUGGCGACCGGCGGACGGGUGCGUAACGCGUAUGCAACCUACCCUUUACAGGGGGAUAACACUGAGAAAUCGGUACUAAUACCCCAUAAUAUUCUGGGAGGCAUCUUUCGGAGUUGAAAGCUUUGGUGGUAAAGGAUGGGCAUGCGUUGUAUUAGCUAGUUGGUAAGGUACGGCUUACCAAGGCGACGAUACAUAGGGGGACUGAGAGGUUAACCCCCCACAUUGGUACUGAGACACGGACCAAACUCCUACGGGAGGCAGCAGUGAGGAAUAUUGGUCAAUGGACGGAAGUCUGAACCAGCCAUGCCGCGUGCAGGAAGACGGCUCUAUGAGUUGUAAACUGCUUUUGUACGAGGGUAAACGCAGAUACGUGUAUCUGCCUGAAAGUAUCGUACGAAUAAGGAUCGGCUAACUCCGUGCCAGCAGCCGCGGUAAUACGGAGGAUCCAAGCGUUAUCCGGAUUUAUUGGGUUUAAAGGGUGCGUAGGCGGUUUAGUAAGUCAGCGGUGAAAUUUUGGUGCUUAACACCAAACGUGCCGUUGAUACUGCUGGGCUAGAGAGUAGUUGCGGUAGGCGGAAUGUAUGGUGUAGCGGUGAAAUGCUUAGAGAUCAUACAGAACACCGAUUGCGAAGGCAGCUUACCAAACUAUAUCUGACGUUGAGGCACGAAAGCGUGGGGAGCAAACAGGAUUAGAUACCCUGGUAGUCCACGCAGUAAACGAUGAUAGCUCGUUGUCGGCGAUACACAGUCGGUGACUAAGAGAAAUCGAUAAGCUAUCCACCUGGGGAGUACGUUCGCAAGAAUGAAACUCAAAGGAAUUGACGGGGGCCCGCACAAGCGGAGGAACAUGUGGUUUAAUUCGAUGAUACGCGAGGAACCUUACCCGGGCUUGAAAGUUACUGACGAUUCUGGAAACAGGAUUUCCCUUCGGGGCAGGAAACUAGGUGCUGCAUGGUUGUCGUCAGCUCGUGCCGUGAGGUGUCGGGUUAAGUCCCAUAACGAGCGCAACCCCUACUGAUAGUUGCCAUCAGAGCGUUUGAGCGAUCAAACAAGCUGGGCACUCUAUCGGGACUGCCGGUGUAAGCCGAGAGGAAGGUGGGGAUGACGUCAAAUCAGCACGGCCCUUACGUCCGGGGCGACACACGUGUUACAAUGGUAGGUACAGAGGGCAGCCACCCAGUGAUGGGGAGCGAAUCUCGAAAGCCUAUCUCAGUUCGGAUUGGAGGCUGAAACUCGCCUCCAUGAAGUUGGAUUCGCUAGUAAUCGCGCAUCAGCCAUGGCGCGGUGAAUACGUUCCCGGGCCUUGUACACACCGCCCGUCAAGCCAUGGGAGUUGGGGGUGCCUGAAGUUCGUGACCGAAAGGAGCGACCUAGGGCAAAACCGAUGACUGGGGCU
rnacentral:rRNA from 1 species